rnacentral:rRNA from 1 species
CCAAGGAGUUUAGCGUGUGCGCGAGUCAUUGGGCAUUAAAACUCAAAGGCGGAAUGAAAGUGAAGGGAAGUUUACUUCCUCAGGGAGGAUGGGGAACGAUCCCUCUAAAGGAUCGCCUCGCACUCCUCGGGGCGUCUCAUUCUCAUUGCGAGAGGAGGCGCACCUAGAGCGUACACGCUGAUACCCGAAAGAUGGUGAACUAUGCCUGGCCAGGACGAAGCCAGGGGAAACCCUGGUGGAGGUCCGCAGCGAUUCUGACGUGCAAAUCGAUCGUACGAGCUGGGUUUAGGGGCGAAAGACCAAUCGAACCAUCUAGUAGCUGGUUCCCUCUGAAGUUUCCCUCAGGAUAGCUUGCGCUCGGUUGAGAAGAGUCUCAUCCGGUAGAGCGAAUGAUUAGAGGCCUUGGGGUCGAAACGACCUCAACCUAUUCUCAAACUCCAAAUAGAUGAGAACCCCGGCUUUCUUGAAAUCCAAUUCCAUGAAGCCGGGGGCUCGGAUCAGAGUGCAAAGUGGGCCAAUUUU